rnacentral:rRNA from 1 species
AACGUAGGGUCCGAGCGUUGUCCGGAAUUACUGGGCGUAAAGAGCUCGUAGGUGGUUUGUCGCGUUGUUCGUGAAAACUCACAGCUCAACUGUGGGCGUGCGGGCGAUACGGGCAGACUAGAGUACUGCAGGGGAGACUGGAAUUCCUGGUGUAGCGGUGGAAUGCGCAGAUAUCAGGAGGAACACCGGUGGCGAAGGCGGGUCUCUGGGCAGUAACUGACGCUGAGGAGCGAAAGCGUGGGGAGCGAACAGG